rnacentral:rRNA from 1 species
UACGUAGGGUGCAAGCGUUGUCCGGAAUUAUUGGGCGGAAAGAGCUCGUAGGCGGUUUGUCGCGUCGACUGUGAAAACCUACAGCUUAACUGUGGGCUUGCAGUCGAUACGGGCAGACUUGAGUUCGGUAGGGGAGACUGGAAUUCCUGGUGUAGCGGUGAAAUGCGCAGAUAUCAGGAGGAACACCGGUGGCGAAGGCGGGUCUCUGGGCCGAUACUGACGCUGAGGAGCGAAAGCGUGGGGAGCGAACAGG